CUAAAAUUUAGAUGUUGUAUUUUCACUUUCAUUUAAUUCUGUAGAUUUUUUAUGGAGAUUUCCUCUUUGAUCAAUAGAUUACUUAAACAUACAUUUUUACUUAGCAAGUGUUUGAAGAUUUUCCUGUUAUCUUUCUGUUAUUAAGCUCUGGUUUGAAUCCAUUGUAGUCAGAGAACAUACUCUGUGUGAUUUCAAAUCUUUACAUUUGUUAACAUUUGUUUUUGACCCAGGAUAUGAUCUAUCUUGGUGAAUGUUUAAUGGGCACUUAAAAAUAAUGUGUAUGUUGCUGUUAUUAGUUGGAGAGGUCCGUGUAUGUCAGUUAUAUCCUGUUGCUUGAUGUUGUUCAGUUCCUCUAUAUUCUUGCUGAUUUUCUGUCUAGUAGCCCUAUCAAUUACUAGUAACCACGUGAUAUUCACUAACUUUCAAAGUAAGGUUAUAAUUCUGACUUUCCUAUGAUAUGAUAAAUCAUCAAUGAAAAUGGUUUUAAAAACUCCUGCAAUUAAAAAGUUUAUACAAAACAUUUAUGUUAAACAUUGAAGCUCAUCUGCAAAUCAUUUAACUUUUGGGGGAGGGAAAAAAAGUCCUUCCAUUUUUGUAGCUCUUUAUCUCUUCUGGAAGCUUGCAAAAGUAAAGUGCUGUUGGAGGCCUCUAAGCUGAAUUUUUCGUUCAAAGUCAUCUAUAAAUUCAUUAAAAUAUAAAAUGAAGGCAGAAAAUAUGAGUAAAAACAUAAAUGUUAAUUUUAGCUAUAGGUUAAUUAUAAUACUAUUUUGUAGCAAGUAGAAUAGCUCCAAAUGCCUACAGGCCCAGGCUCACUUCAUUUCUUAAAAUGAGAAGAGGCAGGAAGCAUUCCCAGUUCCAUUUCAUGGAUAGAAAGAGUUAGAUCCAUAGGAUUUAAGUCAGUGAGCUAUUGUUACAAUUCAAGAGGAAUUGGUAGUUUUCACACUUGCAGUGCCUCUCACAAUUCAUUUUUACAAACUAAUGGUAGAUAACAAACAUGAAGAAAAUAAGAAAUGUAGAAUAGUGUAUAGAAAAUGAAACACUGAAUUCUUCAAUCCAGUAUUCUAGCCACUCAAUCCUGCUCCACUCCUAUUAUUCCAGUUUAAUUCUUUGCAGUAUUGUGACCUCAUAUAAAACUGUAAGAGAACUUUUAUCUAUUCUUAAAAUGAAGAGACUUAGGAAUUGCCACUACAUGGAAUACUAGAUUGUUGAUUUCCUUGUACCGUAUUUUUAAGCAAAAUAUUUUUCCAACUUAAAAGCAAAGCAAAAGAACAACAAAGGCUAAGAAAGGAAGCCAAAUAAAAAAGCAGUUACCAUGGCAUCUUCAACACUAGGCUUGAAAAAGAGAGAGGAUUUUCAAUUCUGUUGAAAGAAAAGGAAAAAAACAUGAUAGACCGUCCGUUGCUGUACACAUUACUUUAUAAAUCUGCCAUUAGAACUGUAAACACAGGUUUAACAGUGGAUUUUGUACUUUUACAACUGCUCUUUGAUAAUGUAAGAGAAAAAUUAAUCCUUUAUAGCUCUUUAUUAUCUGGUUAUAGCUUAUUAAAGAUAUCAACUCAAGCUAUUUUAAUGCCUAUAUAUUAAGUUGUCCUUGAAAAAAAUGUAGCGUUUAUUUAAAAUAAACCUAUUCAAAAAUACUUUUAUAAGACAAAUAAUGAUGCAGUUCAUAAUUAACCAAAUAUUAGUUCUUCAGGACAUAUAAGCAACCAACUUUUUUAGGGAUUUAGGUAUACAUUUUUUUAAUAGAGAUGAACAUGAAAAUAAAUCUAUAUUACCAGCUUUAUGAGCUCAGGAAUCUGGCUGAAGAUUACAAGAAAUGACCAUCACCUACUGCCUUGUGACGGUUACCAACCAGCAGUGAUUUUAAGAUGCCAUUGGUUAUUAGCUCCAGCCUUCUAUCAAACUUGUUAAAAUGGGAUAAAUACAUGUGUCUUAGACAUGAUGAAAUAAGGUAACUGUUUUGAUGAAAUAGGCUCUGUAGUCCAAAAAGUUUGGAAACUUUGGAUUCACCACAGUUGUGCAAGUUUCUUUUACAGUUUGACUUCACAGAGACUUUAAUAUGCUAAUAAGGAUUAUGACUCUUCCAAGGGAACAGUGUUUGGCAAAAUUAGUUGCCCAUAAAUAUUCUUUUAAAUCUUGUCUUUUUGGACCACUGACUUGAAGAAAACACGUUAUAAAGUGCGAGUGUGUAGAGACUAAAAUAAGAGUGGAAAGAAUGUCAAGGGAGGAAUUUUUAUAAUGAGAUGUUGCCAAGAAGUCAAGGAGAAUAAAGACCUAAAAAAAGGCCAUUGGAUUUGUUAGGAAAUCGUUGUUGGGUUUUUGAGGAUAUGGUUGAAACAAGACAGUGUGGAUUAAAAGACAGAUCACAUGGGGCUAAAGGAAGAGGUGAAGUAGCAUUGAUUAAUAUAAACCGUAUUUCUGAGAAGUUUUGGCAAUGAGAAAUGGAGAACUGUGGCUCAAGUUCCCAGUGUCUAACAGGCUUUCACACAGGGUGCUCUACUGGACUGAGGUGAAUAUUUCUGUCCUCUCUGCUGGGUUCUCUGAAUUUUAGACAAAGAACAUGAAAAGCUAUUAUCUCAGAUCUGUGCUGCUCUUAGAAAUAGCCCUCCUAUUUCUGCUCUGACUCAAAUGUGUUGCAUAUAGCAACUGCAUCAUGCAGGAUCCUAUGUAUCGCGCUUCCUUCUUGAAGGUUGUUACUGAGCAAUAUGUUAUUGAAGAGCUGCAGAAAGAAAGCACCUAAUUUAUCAAUGUCAUGGGCAGGGUGGAGCUGUGGGAGGGAAUGAGUCCAAGAAGACCCGGAUUGCCUAGAAGACCAGUGUCCACAAAGUGGAGUCCUGAAUUUCUAAUUUUGGUGUGGUGGCAGUAAUACACAUCCUAGAACUACUAAUUGAGCUACUAAUAGCUUUGAUCCGUGAAAGUUAAGAUGAAGACUAGGUCGAUAGACAGAAAUGCUGAAUGUUAAUGAAUACUUACCAUUUUGUUGAGAAUUUAAAACAUAGAUAUUAUUAUAGGUCAGAAAUUAAAACGUACACAGAGUAAGUUAAUAAUAAAAAUUCUGUUUUCUUUCUUUUGUUUUUUCAGUUCAGCCUCACUAAUCACAGUAGAAUUCCACCCCUCCCCCCAUAUUUGACAACAGGUUAGCCUUAGUUUUUAGAAGCAUUGUGACUAACAAUGAAUAGCAAAUAGGAUUUUCAGAGGAAAUUUGGGUGGUAAAAUCAGGUAUUGUUAGCUAAAUCUUCUGAAACUCAGAAGGCAUCAGGAUAUAAUCUUUCUUAAAAAAGCAGUAGGUAAAUUAGCAGGACAUUGAGGAAGGAUGAAGACGGGGGUGGGGGGCACUGUGAGGCUAAGGAAAAUGAAAGUUGUCUUCAGGAAUCCAACCUGGAGAAUCAAAGAAGAAUGAACAAAAUACUAGCUGAGAAGCAGUAAGGGCCCAGAUGAAAUCUGAUAGCAUGAAUACUACAGAGACUUAAGAAGAAAGCCAUGUGCAUAAAAAAAUAUGACUUUAUCAUCAACUGUACUCGAUGUCACAUGUGCACAAAUUCAUGUCAAGUCAUCAAAAAUUUUAUUCUUAAGCAUGUAUAUGCAGCAAUGUAUAGAAUGAGUUAAAAAUUUCUCAUUAGUUAUUGUCUACAGAAUACCAAUCUAAAAUAUUAUUACAUUGUCCUAGACAGAUAUGUUGACUACAUGUUAAAUAUAUAAUAAGUAACACUAAAUAUACCUUCUCCCAUGGAAUGAGGUUAAUUGGUGUAAGCCAGUAAGGUUACUCUAAGAAAAUAGCUGUGAGUUGGAAAAUUGGUCCUAUUUGGCUGAAUGGAGUAGGCUACUGAGGUUAUUUGGAUAAUUUGAUUAGAGAACUUUAGCCACUAAUAGCUCUGAUCUAUGAAAGACAGUUAAGGUGAAGAGUAAGUAGAUAGCCAGAAUUCUUAAUGUUAAUAAAUACUUACCAUUUUGUUGAGGAUUUGAAAACAGACAUCAUUAUUAUAGGUCAGAAAUUAAAACAUACACAGAAUGAGUUAAUAAUAAA
rnacentral:lncRNA from 1 species